GCGUGGAUGAAGAAGGUCUUCGGAUUGUAAAGUCCUUUCGGCGGGGACGAUGAUGACGGUACCCGCAGAAGAAGCCCCGGCUAACUUCGUGCCAGCAGCCGCGGUAAUACGAAGGGGGCUAGCGUUGCUCGGAAUUACUGGGCGUAAAGGGCGCGUAGGCGGCGGCAUCAGUCAGGCGUGAAAGCCCCGGGCUCAACCUGGGAACUGCGCUUGAGACGGUGUUGCUUGAGGACGGGAGAGGGUGGUGGAAUUCCCAGUGUAGAGGUGAAAUUCGU
rnacentral:rRNA from 1 species